GACGAACGCUGGCGGCGUGCUUAACACAUGCAAGUCGAACGAAGAGCGAUGGAAGCUUGCUUCUAUCAAUCUUAGUGGCGAACGGGUGAGUAACGCGUAAUCAACCUGCCCUUCAGAGGGGGACAACAGUUGGAAACGACUGCUAAUACCGCAUACGAUCUAAACUCGGCAUCGAGGAUAGAUGAAAGGUGGCCUCUACAUGUAAGCUAUCACUGAAGGAGGGGAUUGCGUCUGAUUAGCUAGUUGGAGGGGUAACGGCCCACCAAGGCGAUGAUCAGUAGCCGGGCUGAGAGGAUGAACGGCCACAUUGGGACUGAGACACGGCCCAGACUCCUACGGGAGGCAGCAGUGGGGAAUCUUCCGCAAUGGACGGAAGUCUGACGGAGCAACGCCGCGUGAGUGAUGACGGCCUUCGGGUUGUAAAGCUCUGUUAAUCGGGACGAAAGGCCUUCUUGCGAAUAGUGAGAAGGAUUGACGGUACCGGAAUAGAAAGCCACGGCUAACUACGUG
rnacentral:rRNA from 1 species